UGGGGAAUAUUGCACAAUGGAGGGAACUCUGAUGCAGCGACGCCGCGUGAGUGAUGAAGGAAUUCGUUUCGUAAAACUCUGUUCUAUGGGAAGAAAAGGACUGUACCAUAGGAGAAAGCUCCGGCUAAAUACGUGCCAGCAGCCGCGGUAAUACGUAUGGAGCGAGCGUUGUCCGGAAAUAUUGGGCGUAAAGGGUGCGCAGGCGGCUUUACAAGUUGGAUGUGAAAUAUUGUGGCUCAACCACAAACGUGCAUCCAAAACUGCAAAGCUUGAGUUAAGGAGAGGUAAGUGGAAUUCCUGGUGUAGCGGUGGAAUGCGUAGAUAUCAGGAGGAAUACCGGUGGCGAAGGCGACUUACUGGACUUAAACUGACGCUCAGGCACGAAAGCGUGGGGAGCAAACAGG
rnacentral:rRNA from 1 species